rnacentral:rRNA from 1 species
GUCUACAGCCAUACCACCCUGACCAUGCCUGAUUGCACAUGAUCUCAAAAGCUAAGCAGGGUCAGGUCUGGUUAGUACUUGAAUAGGAGGAGACAGAAGGCU